rnacentral:rRNA from 1 species
GAGCGGAACGAGUUAACUGAACCUUCGGGGAACGUUAACGGCGUCGAGCGGCGGACGGGUGAGUAAUGCCUGGGAAAUUGCCCUGAUGUGGGGGAUAACCAUUGGAAACGAUGGCUAAUACCGCAUAAUAGCUUCGGCUCAAAGAGGGGGACCUUCGGGCCUCUCGCGUCAGGAUAUGCCCAGGUGGGAUUAGCUAGUUGGUGAGGUAAUGGCUCACCAAGGCGACGAUCCCUAGCUGGUCUGAGAGGAUGAUCAGCCACACUGGAACUGAGACACGGUCCAGACUCCUACGGGAGGCAGCAGUGGGGAAUAUUGCACAAUGGGCGCAAGCCUGAUGCAGCCAUGCCGCGUGUGUGAAGAAGGCCUUCGGGUUGUAAAGCACUUUCAGUCGUGAGGAAGGUAGUGUAGUUAAUAGCUGCAUUAUUUGACGUUAGCGACAGAAGAAGCACCGGCUAACUCCGUGCCAGCAGCCGCGGUAAUACGGAGGGUGCGAGCGUUAAUCGGAAUUACUGGGCGUAAAGCGCAUGCAGGUGGUUAGUUAAGUCAGAUGUGAAAGCCCGGGGCUCAACCUCGGAACUGCAUUUGAAACUGGCUGACUAGAGUACUGUAGAGGGGGGUAGAAUUUCAGGUGUAGCGGUGAAAUGCGUAGAGAUCUGAAGGAAUACCGGUGGCGAAGGCGGCCCCCUGGACAGAUACUGACACUCAGAUGCGAAAGCGUGGGGAGCAAACAGGAUUAGAUACCCUGGUAGUCCACGCCGUAAACGAUGUCUACUUGGAGGUUGUGGCCUUGAGCCGUGGCUUUCGGAGCUAACGCGUUAAGUAGACCGCCUGGGGAGUACGGUCGCAAGAUUAAAACUCAAAUGAAUUGACGGGGGCCCGCACAAGCGGUGGAGCAUGUGGUUUAAUUCGAUGCAACGCGAAGAACCUUACCUACUCUUGACAUCCAGAGAACUUAGCAGAGAUGCUUUGGUGCCUUCGGGAACUCUGAGACAGGUGCUGCAUGGCUGUCGUCAGCUCGUGUUGUGAAAUGUUGGGUUAAGUCCCGCAACGAGCGCAACCCUUAUCCUUGUUUGCCAGCACUUCGGGUGGGAACUCCAGGGAGACUGCCGGUGAUAAACCGGAGGAAGGUGGGGACGACGUCAAGUCAUCAUGGCCCUUACGAGUAGGGCUACACACGUGCUACAAUGGCGCAUACAGAGGGCAGCCAACUUGCGAAAGUGAGCGAAUCCCAAAAAGUGCGUCGUAGUCCGGAUUGGAGUCUGCAACUCGACUCCAUGAAGUCGGAAUCGCUAGUAAUCGUGGAUCAGAAUGCCA